UGCUCCCCUCUCUCUCGUCUUUACCCUCUGACCAUCAAGAGCUCAGCCACGACACCUUCCCAUGGCUAGGGUUUCGAGGGUGGUGUCCCCUCCAACUCCAGCGCGGCGCCGGCGAUUCUUCUCCGCCCUGAUGAACAACGCGGUGCUCUUCGACCAGGCCACCUACACAGAUCAUGCCCGCCGUCCUCUCCGAGCGCCUCAGGUAGCAGCAUGGGCGAGUUGAGGUGGGGGACAGAGAGGUUGUGUCGUGCGGGUUCUGAUCAUGGUAUAGCAGCACACUUUCCAGCGUCGAUCUGAGCAAACGAUGAUGCAAGGCUGCUCCUCCUUGUACUGCAUGUCUUCAUUGACUCGAUUCUUUGACAGGGAGAUAUUUAAAGCAUUCACUUGUUCAUUGUGUCAUCUGCUGAUUACUUUUUCUAUUAUUUUCUUGCAAAGCAUGUAAUGGUUUGGAGUAGUUGAUCAUGGCCUGAUGGAACAUUCAUGUUGUUAGCAUGUAUAUAUCUACACUAUUACAGCAGCUUGUUGAUCAAGCGCUUCUUUCUAUCUAAAUGUGUGCACAGAAGUUCAGUUACCUUCUAAAAAAUUAUUGGUGCACUAUCUAUCUAUAUAUAUACACUAUCUAUAUAUAUAUACACUAUUACAGCAGCUUGUUGAUCAAGCGCUUCUUUCUAUCUAUAUAUAUACACUAUCUAAAUUGUUUGCAACGGCAUUAUGCACAUGAGGCAGGACUAUACAAGUGAAAUGUCACAGUAAGGUCCUUCCAUGGAUUUCAUGUGGCUCCUUGAGUUGUAAGAUGCAGCUCCAACAUUGAAUAUAUUUUGAAUGUUUCCAAAGAUACUCUCUGUUACGUUUACUUCAAUAUAUACAUGCAUGUUACUGAUAGAAGCUGGCUGCAGGAAUCCGUACACAUAUAUACUCUCUUGUACAGUACAUUGCUAGAUCACUCACUAGGCAUUAUGUAAUACUACUAGGAGAAAUGGGUGAGGGACUAAAAGGAUGAUACGCUUCCAUGAAUAUAUUUGUAAGAAGUUUUUCUUGGUUGUGUACAAAUCAGCCCAAAUGAAUUUAUGUUCUUUUUACUUCUAGAGUUAUAGUGCACUCAUACUGUCAUCACAUUGCGUGUUCUUGCAGCAUAUACCUCUCUAUUAGCUUAGGCAGACAAACUACUUAUGUAAUAUGCAAACAACAUCAACAUAGCUAGUGAUGCUAAUUCUACCUCUUGUUACAGAAUCAGAAUUCCUCUUGUUGCACGGGACAACUCAGUUUCCUCUUGUUACAGAAUCAGAAUUCCUCUGCUUCUUAUGCUACUCUACUAGAACUCUGCUUUUCUACUUGUCAUAUUGAAUAUACAUGUUCUAAACAUUAUACAGUACUUUCGUUGUUAACUCCAAACAACUUGGGAUCUUCUCUUCUGCAUGCAGCAACUGGCUUACCAGUACGCCGCCAAGGGGGCAUGCCUUGCCCUGGUAGCAAGGAGGGAGUGGAGCCUGUGGCAGGUCGCCGACCGCGCCUUCGAGCUCGGCGUGCCGGACGUGAUCAUUCUCCCCGGGGACGUCGCGCCCGACGACUACAACAGAUUUGUUCAGGCCACAAUCGACCACUACGGCCAAUGGCGACCGUGGAAGGCAUGAUGAUAGUUCAUAUUGUCAUUCUGUUAGUCAGUGUAAUGAAGGUCAUGGCCUAGUCAAGUAUGGUCGCCCAUUGAGUCGUGCAUAUGUUUCAUAUUAUUGGAGCAGGGGCCCAGUUUGUGCCGAUUGUCACUGCAUAUGUUUAACAGUGAUUCUACUUGUAUAUGUGUUAUUACACUAGUAGAAUUUGUACAUGUGCGAUGACUGGAGCAGGAUCCCAAUAUUUGUAGAGAUUGUAACAUUGAUUGUCACUGUAUACAGAUUCAUUCUGGU